rnacentral:rRNA from 1 species
UACGUAGGGUGCAAGCGUUAAUCGGAAUUACUGGGCGUAAAGGGCGCGUAGGCGGCCUUCUAAGUCGAACGUGAAAUCCCCCGGGCUCAACCCGGGAACUGCGUCCGAUACUGGAAGGCUUGAAUCCGGGAGAGGGAUGCGGAAUUCCGAAGGUGUAGCGGUGAAUGACGUAGAUAUCUGGAGGAACACCGGUGGCGAAGGCGGCAUCCUGGACCGGCAUUGACGCUGAGGCGCGAAAGCCAGGGGAGCAAAGCGGGAU